AAACCAACAGGGAUUACCUUAGUAGCGGCGAGUGAAGCGGUAAGAGCUCAAAUUUGAAAUCUGGUACCUUCGGUGCCCGAGUUGUAAUUUGAAGAAAGCUGUCUUGGAUUUGGCCUUUGUCUAUGUUCCUUGGAACAGGACGUCACAGAGGGUGAGAAUCCCGUGCGAUGAGGUGUCCAUUUCUAUAUAAGACGUUUUCGAAGAGUCGAGUUGUUUGGGAAUGCAGCUCUAAGUGGGUGGUAAAUUCCAUCUAAAGCUAAAUAUUGGCGAGAGACCGAUAGCGAACAAGUACUGUGAAGGAAAGAUGAAAAGAACUUUGAAAAGAGAGUGAAAAAGUACGUGAAAUUGUUGAAAGGGAAGGGUAUUCGAUCAGACUUGGUAUUUAGUUAUCAUUACUCCUUGUGGGUGGUGCUCUAGCUUUUUACUGGGCCAGCAUCAGUUUUGGUGGCAAGAUAAUGGCAGUUGAAUGUGGCUCCUCGGAGUGUUAUAGCUUCUGCUGAUAUUGCCUACUGGGACUGAGGUCUGCGGCUUUUGCCUAGGAUGCUGGCGUAAUGAUCGAAUACCGC
rnacentral:rRNA from 4 species